GGUGGCUCAGUGGUAGAGUGCUUGUCUUGUAAGCAUGAGGCCCUGGGUUUGAUUCCUCAGCACCA
rnacentral:tRNA from 1 species